rnacentral:rRNA from 1 species
AGGAUUAACGCUGGCGGCGUGCCUAACACAUGCAAGUCGAACGAGGUAGCAAUACCUAGUGGCAGACGGGUGAGUAACGCGUGGUCAACCUACCGUUGAGUGGGGGAUAACUAGCCGAAAGGUUAGCUAAAUACCGCAUACGAGUCUCGGGGGCAUCCCUGGGCCUUAAAAGGAGCAAUCCGCUCGAUGACGGGACCGCGUCCCAUUAGCUAGAUGGUGGGGUAAUGGCCUACCAUGGCUCCGAUGGGUAGCUGGUUUGAGAGAGCGACCAGCCACACUGGGACUGAGAAACGGCCCAGACUCCUACGGGAGGCAGCAGUGAGGAAUUUUCCGCAAUGGGCGAAAGCCUGACGGAGCGACGCCGCGUGUGGGAAGAAGGCCUUCGGGUCGUAAACCACUGUCGAAGGGGACGAGUAAUGACGGUACCUUGGAGGAAGCCCCGGCUAACUACGCGCCAGCAGCCGC